rnacentral:rRNA from 1 species
UACGGGGGGGGCAAGCGUUGUUCGGAAUUACUGGGCGUAAAGGGCUCGUAGGUGGCCAACUAAGUCAGACGUGAAAUCCCUCGGCUUAACCGGGGAACUGCGUCUGAUACUGGAUGGCUUGAGAUUGGGAGAGGGACGCGGAAUUCCUGGUGUAGCGGUGAAAUGCGCAGAUAUCAGGAAGAACACCCGUGGCGAAGGCGGCUUUCUGGGACGGUACUGACGCUGAGACGCGAAAGCGUGGGGAGCGAACAGG